rnacentral:lncRNA from 1 species
GCGGCUUGGAUCCCGAGUUGUUGUGGCUGUGGUAUAGGCCCGCAGCUGCAGCUCCGAUUCCACCCCUAGCCUGGCAGCUUCCACAUGCUGUGGGUGUGGACCUAAGAAGCAAAAAAAAAAAAAAAAAGAAAGAAAAAGACCUGGCUCCCAGAGAUACUUUGGCCAGUGCCCCCCGCCGCCCCACUGCCCCCUCCGCCCCAGCAGUGUGACCCCCGGAAGAGUUCACUUCCGUACCAUGGGCCUCUGGGCCUGUUGUGGUUUCUGAUCACCUCCUGGCCUCCACUGAGGCUUCAGCUCUCCCUGGAGCAGCUCCCAAAGACCUCAGAGAUGGCCUUCCUUGUUUGUGCUAGGAGAACCCUGCCAGACAGUAAGGUCACUGUGUAGACAGUAGAUGUUGGCCAGGGGCGCUGGAAGGAAAAAUUACACUUGGUAGAGGCCCUGUCAGGAGUCUGGUUCAGCUGGCCUCCCGCAUCCCAGGAAGGACCCCAGGCCCAGCUCUCCAGCCUGGCCACUUCCCUCUUUAGGAACAAGGAAGCUGUGAGGGAAAUCUGUGUUUUUUCCUUUCAGAUUGUUCUAAUUUUUAUACUUUCAGGACCCCAGAGAUGUGUCUUUUUUUUUGUUUUUUUAAGUUUUAUUGAAGUAUAGUUGAUUGACAAGGUUGUGAUAAUUUCUGUUGUACAACAAAGUUAUGCAUAUUCAGUCAUACCUAUACACAUAUCCAUUCUCUUUCAAAUUCUUUUCCCACAUAGAAGGACUGUGCCUCACCAAAGCCUUUUUCUGAUUCAUACUAAUACCAAUUAACCCUAAAGAUACCUUCUCUUCCUGCGACUGUGACUACCACCAACUUAGACCCAAGGCUGGCUAUUUUGAAUCUCUGAACUUUAUCUUGUACAAGCAUUCUUCCUGCAUGGCAACAUCCUUGAUUUUCUGAAUCACCUCUUGAAAGACAAGGCCCUUUGGGGCCACCAGGCCAUGGUUUGGGUCCAAGAUCACAUCCUGCUGAAGGUGUGGGUGGGAUAAGCGGGCCGAUUGGUUGAAGGAGGCCUUCCCUGCAGAACAUGCCUUUGCUUUGCUUCCUUCUUCUUUUGACAGGACGGGGAGAAGGAUCCCCUCUCCCUUCUAGCCCUGAGGGACCCCAGAGGAGCCAACCCACAGACUUUCCUCCCCUUUCAGGGGCUGUGCCUCUGAGGGCAUUGGGAAACAGCUGGGGGUCACCCUUUCUGAGUUUCCUUCUUUGCCCCCAUUGCAUGAGGGCCUUUUGAGACCUGAGCCCCACCUCCCAGGUCUUACCUGAACUUUUUUAACCAGGACUAAGAAUGGGCUAUAAGAGGAGAGACACUGAAAAAAUAGAAAUUAAAUAUUUCUUAAAUAGUGGAGAUGGGAGUUUCCAUCGUGGCUCAGUGGUUAACAAACAUGACUAGUAUCCAUGAGGAUGCAGGUUCAAUCCCUGGCCUCAUUCAGUGGGUUAAGGAUCUGGCAUUGCUGUGGCUGUGGUGUAGGCCCGUAGCUGUAGCUCUGAUUCAACCCCUAGCUUGGGAACCUCCAUAUGCUGCGGGUACGGCCCUAAAAAGACAAAAAAACUAAAAAAAUAGCAGAGAUGGCAACUACUUUGGAAGAUUCUCAUCAAAUAAAUGAGGUGUCAGGGAGUUCCCGUUGUGGCUCAGCGGUUAACAAACCUGACUGGCAUCCGUGAGGACGCAGGUUCGAUCCCCGGCCUCACUCAGUGGGUUAAGGAUCCAGCAUUGCCAUGAGCUGUGGUGUAGGUCGCAGACAUGGCUCGGAACCUGCAUUGCCAUGAGCUGUGGUGUAGGCCGGCUGCUACAGCUCCAAUUGCACCCCUAGCUUAGGAACCUUCAUAUGUUGUAGGUGCGGCCCUAAAAAAAGACAGAAAGACAAAAAAUAAAAAAUAAAAAUAAAAAUAAAUGAGUGUCAGGAUGCAGGAGUGGAGUUCCCAUUGUGGCUCACCAGGUUAAGAACCUGACAAGUAUCCAUGAGGAUGGUGGUUUGAUCCCUGGCCCCACUCAGUGGGUUAAGGAUCUGGUGUUGCCACAAGCUGUGGCAUAAGUUUCAGAUGCAGUUCAUAUCCAGCAUUGCUUUGGCUGUGGUGCAGGCUGUCAGCUGCAACUCUGAUUUGACCCCUAGCCUGGGAUCUUCCAUAUAUCUCAGGUGUGGCCCUAAAAAGAAAAAAAAAAAAAA